rnacentral:rRNA from 1 species
UACGUAGGGUGCAAGCGUUAAUCGGAAUUACUGGGCGUAAAGCGUGCGCAGGCGGUUUCGUAAGUCUGUCGUGAAAUCCCCGGGCUUAACCUGGGAAUGGCGAUGGAGACUGCGAGACUAGAGUUUGGCAGAGGGGGGUAGAAUUCCACGUGUAGCAGUGAAAUGCGUAGAGAUGUGGAGGAACACCGAUGGCGAAGGCAGCCCCCUGGGUCAAAACUGACGCUCAUGCACGAAAGCGUGGGGAGCAAACAGG